CAUAACGUUCCACUUGGGGCUGUGGCGCCAACUAGAAUCGAAUUGGCAAUCAGUUCGUGUUGAAAAUGCCACCGCGUUGGUUGUGCAACGCAUGAAAACGUUCGCAUCGACGCAAUUUUGAAGCCGUCAUAACGGUAGAUAGUCGAAUACGUGCACUGUACGUGUCUGUGUCUGUGUGGGUGUGUGUAUCAAUAUGCCUGUGUGUGGGUGCCGAAGUGAAGAGCGUUCGUUGUCGUGCUACGAAGUCGUGAUCGCAGCCGCGUUUCCGUCGUACGCAUUCAGUUGGCAAUGAGUCCUCGAAUUGAACAAAAGUGCAAGGAUUUAAGCGUGGAUUGAUGCUCAAGUAAAUUAAUUGAAUAGUACAGUGAAUAAUCCCAAAAGUGAAUGCCGCACGCUGAGCAGCUGCAACGGCUACGUGCUUCACACUGUGAAAUAUAUUUUGGACAAGCAACAAUUCGAAAUGGAAUUAUUAAUCAAAUCAACAAAUUGACUCUGAGUGGGUGUUUGUGAGUGACAAUAUGUGUGUGUGUGUGUGUGUGCUUGAAAUAGUACAUUUAUGUACUCACGCUCAUUUGUUAUACAUUUACAGAUUUGAAAUCAAGACUAGCUCAAGUGAAUAAUUCGUGCUACAGCUAAGCCAAUCAUAAAAUAUGUUCAAACUAACAUAAAUAAUACGCGCAACAGCAAGUAGAGCGACAGAGACAACAUUAAAUAGAUAUAUAAAAACAAGAAAAAAACAAAUCAAAUAUUAAGCAAACUGUCAAGCCGGUUACCGCCUCUAGAGUGCAUCUACAGUAGCCGCAGCAACAACAACUAAAAACUUGACCGAAUUUCCAAUCAAUUUGGAGUCUCCGAUCUCGCCCAGAUUAUUCGUAGCCGUUGAUGUCGGCUUCAAGAUCGCAAUCGCAAUCGCAAACCCAAUGAUUUAUUCAG